rnacentral:rRNA from 1 species
AGCGAACGCUGGCGGCAGGCUUAACACAUGCAAGUCGAACGGUCCUUCGGGAUAGUGGCGGACGGGUGAGUAACACGUGGGAACGUACCCUUAGGUUCGGAACAACACAGGGAAACUUGUGCUAAUACCGGAUAAGCCCUUCGGGGGAAAGAUUUAUCGCCCUUGGAGCGGCCCGCGUCUGAUUAGCUUGUUGGUGAGGUAAUGGCUCACCAAGGCUACGAUCAGUAGCUGGUCUGAGAGGAUGGCCAGCCACACUGGGACUGAGACACGGCCCAGACUCCAACGGGAGGCAGCAGUGGGGAAUCUUGCGCAAUGGGCGAAAGCCUGACGCAGCCAUGCCGCGUGGAUGAUGAAGGUCUUAGGAUUGUAAAAUCCUUUCACCGGGGACGAUAAUGACGGUACCCGGAGAAGAAGCCCCGGCUAACUUCGUGCCAGCCGCCGCAGUAA